CAAGUCCCGGAAGCAGGAAGCGCCUCACUUCUUGCUUGGGAUUCACGGCUGGAACGGCGAAGGGAAACUUUGACCCCCGCCAGGAGCGCUGCAGUCCUGUGUUUACUGGAGCCAACAUGGGUCCACUGGAGCAAUUGUUAACUGCGCAUGUGUGCAGCUUUUUAAAGGUAGAGGAGAUGUGAAGAGAGGAGCAUGCCUUAGUCUGCUCCCCAACACACCCCACCCGCACUUAGCGAUGUCUGCAUGCAUUUUGGAUUGUCCACCGUGGAAAGAUGCAGCUGCUAUCCAGUACAAACUGCUUGUUUUACUUCCUGCAAAUCACAGCGGGUUUCCCUGUGGCCAAAACGCUGCUGUUUUGAAUAAUGUAAAGCACACUGCCUCUAUCUUAGGCUUAAGAGUCAUCUCACAUACAUGGGUCUAGAUAAACUAGGCCCACUCCUGCUUAUAAUUAAAUUAUAAGUCACCUUAACUACAGAUGGUUCUGUACUGCCUAUUCCAGGAAAUGGCAACCAAGUCUUUGCUUCAAAAUCAUCUUGUAACCGUGCCUUUGUUCCAAAAGGGGGUUUUAACCAUCUGCGACUAUCUGGUUAUGAGUAACCAGCUGUUAUAACCACCUUAUAGCCUUGUCUUGGCUUCAGAAGGUUGUUUUGACCAUCUGUAACUAUAUGGUUAUGAGUAACCAGCUGUUAUGACCACCUUGCAGCCUUGUCUUUGCUUCAGGAGGUUGCUAUGACCAACUUGGUAUGCUUGUGUUCUGCGUCUGUAACCCAGCCUACUUGCCUACCAAUCUCCCAUUUGGAAACUCUAUAGCUCUGGCCCAUCAAAACCUUGUCUUCCUCAGUCUAAUGCUGACCUCUCUCUAACUCCACUCUGGAGGAGGCAGCCGCGUACAUGAAUAAAAGA